rnacentral:lncRNA from 1 species
CAGCCGGAGCAGCGACGGCGGCGGUUGCGGCCGCCCCCUGGCGGGCGCCGGUGGCUGCAGCCGGGCCCGUGAGGGCUGGGCUGGGCUGGGCUGGGCUCCCGCUCCCUCCGUCCGCGGCGGGAGAAGGGCAGGCCCUCAGCCAAAGCUCAAGCGGGGCGGCCCGGACAUCGGCGAGUCCCCGAGCGAGCGGUACAGAGUACCAGCUAGCAAAACCCUCUGAUGGAAACAGAUGGGAGCUACCACUAGGAAGCCUUGCCAGACCUGGGGGCCUGAUGAGAGAGUUUUUCUGGGUGGUUUACCAAAUCCAAGUUUUGAUCAUCUGCAGAGCCUGUUGA